rnacentral:rRNA from 1 species
GACGAACCGUGCGAACGUUAUUCGGAAUCACUGGGCUUAAAGGGAGCGUAGGCGGGCUAUCAAGUCUGGGGUGAAAUCCCGCGGCUCAACCGUGGAACUGCCUCAGAUACUGACGGCCUCGAGGGAGAUAGGGGCAUGCGGAACUGUAGGUGGAGCGGUGAAAUGCGUUGAUAACUACAGGAACUCCGGUGGCGAAAGCGGCGUGCUGGAUCUCUUCUGACGCUGAGACGCGAAAGCGUGGGGAGCGAACAGG